UACGAAGGGGGCUAGCGUUGCUCGGAAUUACUGGGCGUAAAGGGCGCGUAGGCGGCACUGUUAGUCAGGCGUGAAAGUCCUGGGCUCAACCUGGGAACUGCGCUUGAUACGGCAGAGCUAGAGGAUGGAAGAGGGUCGCGGAAUUCCCAGUGUAGCGGUGAAAUGCGCAGAUAUUGGGAGGAACACCAGUGGCGAAGGCGGCACUCUGGGCCAGUACUGACACUGAGGAGCGAAAGCGUGGGUAGCGAACAGG
rnacentral:rRNA from 1 species